CAGCCGCCGCGGUAAUUCCGGCGGCCCGAGUGGCGGUCACUAUUAUUGGGCUUAAAGCGUCCGUAGCCGGGUUGGGAAGUCCUCCGGGAAAUCUGGCCGCUUAACGGUCAGAAUGCCGGAGGAUACUCCCAGCCUAGGGAGCGGGAGAGGCCGAGGGGCUUCCCGGAGUAGGGGGGAAAUCCUAUAAUCCCGGGAGGACCACCUGUGGCGAAGGCGCUCGGCUGGAACGCGUCCGACGGUGAGGGACGAAGGCCAGGGGAGCAAACCGGAUUAGAUACCCGGGUAGUCCUGGCUGUAAACGAUGCGGACUUUGUGUCGGACAAGCUAUGAGCUUGUCCGGUGCCGGAGGGAAACCGUUAAGUCCGCCGCCUGGGGAGUACGGCCGCAAGGCUGAAACUUAAAGGAAUUGGCGGG
rnacentral:rRNA from 1 species